GGGAACUGUGAGACAGGUGCUGCAUGGCUGUCGUCAGCUCGUGUUGUGAAAUGUUGGGUUAAGUCCCGCAACGAGCGCAACCCUUAUCCUUUGUUGCCAGCGGUCCGGCCGGGAACUCAAAGGAGACUGCCAGUGAUAAACUGGAGGAAGGUGGGGAUGACGUCAAGUCAUCAUGGCCCUUACGACCAGGGCUACACACGUGCUACAAUGGCGCAUACAAAGAGAAGCGACCUCCCGAGAGCAAGCGGACCUCAUAAAGUGCGUCGUAGUCCGGAUUGGAGUCUGCAACUCGACUCCAUGAAGUCGGAAUCGCUAGUAAUCGUGGAUCAGAAUGCCACGGUGAAUACGUUCCCGGGUCUUGUAUACUCCG
rnacentral:rRNA from 1 species